UACGUAGGGGGCAAUCGUUGUCCGGAUUCAUUGGGCGUAAAGCGCGGGCAGGCGGCCCGCUCAGUCGGCCGUGAAAGCGCCGGGCUCAACUCGGCGAGGUCGGGCGAUACUGGCGGGCUCGAGGCUGGUAGAGGGCGGUGGAAUUCCGGGUGUAGUGGUGGAAUGCGUAGAGCUCCGGAGGAACACCAGUGGCGAAGGCGGCCGCCUGGGCCAGUCCUGACGCUGAGCCGCGAAAGCCAGGGGAGCGAACGGG
rnacentral:rRNA from 1 species